UACGUAGGGGGCAAGCGUUGUCCGGAAUCAUUGGGCGUAAAGAGCGUGUAGGCGGCCAGAUAAGUCCGCUGUGAAAUCUCGAGGCUCAACUUCGAGCUGUCGGUGGAAACUGUCUGGCUAGAGUCCGGAAGAGGAGAAUGGAAUUCCUGGUGUAGCGGUGAAAUGCGCAGAUAUCAGGAAGAACACCCGUGGCGAACGCGGCACUCUGGAGCGGUACUGACGCUGAGACGCGAAAGCGUGGGGAGCGAACAGG
rnacentral:rRNA from 1 species